CGGUAAUGAUGACCCUCCACUUCAUGGUCCGUGUUUCUGAAACUCGUGAUUUGGUGGAAGUUCUGACUUG